AGAAUCAACGCUGGCGGCGUGCCUAACACAUGCAAGUCGAACGCGAAAGGGACUUCGGUCCUGAGUAGAGUGGCGAACGGGUGAGUAACGCGUGGGUGACCUACCCUCGAGUGGGGGAUAACGUCUCGAAAGGGACGCUAAUACCGCAUGACAUUCCGGGUUUGAAGACCUGGAAAUCAAAGCCGGGGACCGCAAGGCCUGGCGCUCGGGGAGGGCCCGCGUCUGAUUAGCUAGUUGGCGGGGUAACGGCCACCAAGGCGACGAUCAGUA
rnacentral:rRNA from 1 species